UCGACCUUAGCUCAGUUGGUAGAGCGGAGGACUGUAGUUUGAUUAAUUUAAAUUGGAAAUCCUUAGGUCGCUGGUUUGAAUCCGGCAGGUCGGA
rfam:Ipomoea nil DNA, scaffold: scaffold2701, cultivar: Tokyo-kokei standard.